AAAGAAAAAAGUAAAAUAUUAAUAGAAUUCAAAAAGCAUUUUUGUAUGUGAAUAUAUUUAAAAAUUGAAUUUAUUCAUGUGGAGCAAAUCUGAAUUUUCAGCAUCAUUAUUGCAGUUUCAUAGUCACAUGACCCUUAAUAAAAUCAUUCGAAUAUACUAUUGUAAAUUACUUCUUAUUGCUAGAAAAGUGGUUGUUAAGGUUUUCUCAAUGGUUGCCAACAACAAAAACAUAAUAGGAAUCAACAUUAAGACAGUUUUAAAUCCAAACACUCCCCUUGUCUCCCAUUGGUCGGAAAAACAAACAGUCCCGCCUUAAACUCACGCCAUUGGUUGAGCCAAAACUUAACAUAGUCAGGUGGUUCAAACAAACAGAUCAGUGUCACAGCGUUUACACAACAGGGAAAUGAACAUGCGAAUGGAUUGUUAUGUCUGCAUAUUAAGCUCCGACAGGAGGAAGUACUGUAGAUUAGAAGAAAUUAUAUACAAUGAUACAGCUCUAAAUCCAAAGCAAAGCCUCAUCAUAUUCAAAUGAUUUCAGCUUGUUUUGAUGCUGUUUUAUAUUCAACAUUACGUCCAUACAGACCACUAGAGCAGAUUUACAGGCCAAAACAUGUUUUAAUGUUAAAGCCAUAACAGAAUACCAUCUGCUUAUCAGCAUCACAGACUGGAAACACAAGCCAUUUGUAAUGUUCUGAGUCUAUGGCAGGUCAAUAACGGGUUUCUACUGUUUUGAAAGCAUAUAAUUAAUGCAUGCACUGUAUUUUUCACACAUCCAACCCGAAGGCGAAAACUGUGAAAAGUGAGUAAAAAGCUGUGAUUUUCAAUAUUUGUUAAAAGGCUCUGCCUUCCCUUUAGCACAGUAUUGUGUGUGAAUGUGAGAAGUAUCAAGGGUUUCACAAGCAUGUUUUCAGCACGUUUCCCCUGCUGAUGCAGAUCAGAAAAGCUCAUGCAAUCUUAGGACAAGCCGGAUACUUGACUAUUGCUCGUUCUUAGGGUUAAUCAUUAGAACAAAAACCUAAAAAUUAGAACUAAUCCUUAGUAUUUAAGGGAUAAACAUUUUGUUAUCAUUUACUCACUCUCAGGUUGUUCCAAAACAGUUUAGAGAUUUCUUUCUUCUGUUGCACAUAAAAGAUUAUAUCUUGAAGAAUGUGGGAAAUCAAACAGUUGACUGUUCCCAUUGACUUCCACAGUAUAGUAUUAUUUUCCAAACUAUUGAAGUCAAUGGCUGCCAGCAAGUAUUUGGUUCUUCAGUAUAUCUUCUUUCCUUUAAACUUUGGUGCAUAACUUACUUUACACUGUUAGCUUCAAGCUGAUACUGUACCUCAAAUUAUGCAACUUGCCUUUAUAUUCAUGCACAUGGAAGAUGCAUUUCACUGGUCCAUUCACUGGUAAUUGAACCCUAUGACUUUGGCGUCACAAUAUUUACAUUUAUAGUUGACACUUUACCCCAAAGCAACUUUUAUUGAAUUAAGGUGCACAUUUCGCUAGUUCAAAUUUAUCGGUUCAAAACUCAUGAUAUAUAAAAGGUGCACAUGGUGUCAUGCAUACAAAUACAAACACUGGUAAACUAAGUUGACUUCUUGAUUUUCACUUCCAAAAACUGUCCAUUUUAAAAUUUAAAUGAUAUGUACGAUUAGAUCUAUUACAGUUUACAGAAAACCAACAGACAGUUUUAAUCAAGAUUUUUUGUCUUUUAAUGUAAAAAAUUAACUCUUGAAAAGAUCUCAUUAUAAAAAACAGCAAAUAAGAACAAGCCUAUAGUAAACUUAAAUCCACACUAGAGUUUGACCGAUAUUUGGUUUUACCUAUAUUUCUCCCAAUAUUAACGCAUUUUUCCAUUAUCGGAUAUCAGUUUUGUUUCUUGUACAAGGAAAAAGUUCCAUUAAGACACUCUUCACCUUGAAGAGAGACGGGUCAACAACCGAGGAUACGGAGCUUGUAGUAAUGCAUUAUGGGACGCCCAACAGGCUAUUAUGCUCUGGACAGGACUGAUAAAUGUUUUGAUGAUGCCACAAAAAGCCCGUCUGCUGCCAAACCACCAUAGCAGCUUCCAAAACACAACAUAUGCUGGUCCUUCAGCAGGAAAGCCGGAUUAGCUCGCGUGCCCUCUGGUCAUCGCCGUCCGUAUAGGCCUUUUGGAUGCUCCUCAGAGUGGAUGAAUGACUCACGGGAACGCUGCCGACCGCCGACUGCUUGGCUCCCAUCGCCGGGACGUCUGCAAAUGGGGC